CCUACGGGAGGCAGCAGUGAGGAAUAUUUGUCAAUGGACGAGAGUCUGAACCAGCCAAGUAGCGUGAAGGAUGACUGCCCUAUGGGUUGUAAACUUCUUUUAUAAAGGAAUAAAACGAGGCACGUGUGCCUUUUUGCAUGUACUUUAUGAAUAAGGAUCGGCUAACUCCGUGCCAGCAGCCGCGGUAAUACGGAGGAUCCGAGCGUUAUCCGGAUUUAUUGGGUUUAAAGGGAGCGUAGAUGGGUUGGUAAGUCAGUUGUGAAAGUUUGCGGCUCAACCGUAAAAUUGCAAUUGAUACUGGCAGUCUUGAGUAAAGUUGAGGUAGGCGGAAUUCGUGGUGUAGCAGUGAAAUGCUUAGAUAUCGAGAAGAACCCCGAUUGCGAAGGCAGCUUACUAAACUGUGACUGACAUUGAUGCACGAAGGUGUGGGUAUCGAACGGGAUUAGAUACCCCUGUAGUC
rnacentral:rRNA from 1 species